rnacentral:lncRNA from 1 species
CCACAUGGGGUCGCACCACUUGUCCACGUCUAGGCCCAGCACUGCAGAUCAUGGGCGUACCACCACGGAGGCACCUACGUCAUCAAAUAUAUGACAUAUAAGAAGAUGAAAUUAAGUGUAAUUAAUCUUAGAAAUAAUAAGUAUUAAUGUUCUAUAUUUACCUGCAGGUAUUGUUCUCGGGUCAGUGCUAGCGUCCCUUUUAGUGACCCUCUCUCCAAGGUGUUCCGUGUGGAAUUGGAUUACGGCCUGGACGCGCGCCUCGUAGUGCAUGUCCUUGACUAGUUUCUUGGCGUCUUUGUCAGCCACAGCAUCCGCCUUAGCCUCGUAUCUCGAUGCGCAUAUAAAAAAAUCCUGCAUAUAGACGCGAUGUAUCCGAUCAUUAUUUCAAGAAUGUCAAAUCAAUACGAUGUAUUGAGAAAUGUAGUUAGAUAAAGACUUACCCACAGCUCGACCUUGACACGCUCAUUUUUGUUGGCGAAUACCCUUCCAUCCCAAUCAACGGCGUCCGGAGCGGCGGCAUAGUGGGGCCCACGUGUACGCCGGCUCAAGAGCUCCGCCAAACUACACCAUGCCAGGGAACUUUUCCUUGAUCAAAAGUCCAAGGACAUCGUUCAGAUGAUGUGCGUGAUCACCCCCACCAACCUUCGUCCAACCUUUGCCAAUGUGAUUAAAACAAAUUAUUAGUUUCUAUUGUAAUUUUGAACAUUUCAAACAAAAAAUUAGUGAUAACAUCUAAAGUUACUUACCUCUCUCCUUUGGGUCGAAUCAGCGGGCAUCUUUCAUGAGGUAUCGGUUGCCUCGGGAGGGUCGAGGGACCUCGCAACCACACACGCGACGAAGUAGAGGAAGAGGUACCCCCUGCUUCCUCCUUCACCUCUGCCUUCUCCUGCACCCCAACCUCCUCCUCCACCUGUACCUCCUUCUCCUCUUCAGAGGGUGAGUGAGCAGAAGGUACCUCCUCAGACCUAGACGUUGCCGAAGGUACAGGCGACUCUGGCCUCAUCCUGCCUCCACCCUUCCCUUGACCCCUGCCUCCACCCCUAGGUCUACCCCGAGGUCUCUUCCCGAACCCUUCAGCUGCAUCGAACCCUUUACGCAUCGCUUUUGAGUAAAGCGUCGCUAACCUCCUCAUACCGCCCACCAUUGUUCAGUCACCUGCUAUUAAACCUCCUCAUACCGCGCACCAUUGUUCAGUCACCUGCUAUUAAAUAGAGUAAACCAAUUAGCACAAAUAAUACAUCAAAAUAGAUGCAAAAUAAACUAAACAUACUUAGAAAAUAACAUGGUAUGACAAAUAAUAAAUCAAUUAGUAUAGAUCAUACAUGUAUUAGAAAUAAUCAUCAUCAUCGGGAUUAGCUGGAUCAUAAGUCUCAUCAUCACUAUCAUGCAUGUCGAAAUAAUCAUCAACGUGCUCCGAAGGAGGAAUGUCAUCAUCACCGUCAUUGCUUAAAUGUAAUCGCUAAAGUGAUUAUGAGUUCUUCGCAUUCUGAACCUCGUAACUGGAGUCCUCAUCAGCACCACUUUCAUUGUCUACUUCCAUACCCUAAGCUUCAGUUAAGUCUAUCUCAAAAUUCCCUACAAGCCCAUCUUCUUGAAAGAACUCUCCGUCAUAUGUGUUGGGGUCUAUGUUGUAAUCUUCAUUGUUUGGGACUGUUGGGCUAACAUCACCAGGCCCACGAGUAGGCCUUGUACGGCCCACUCAGGGAUGUACUCAGAUGAGAUCAGGAUAUGGAAGGCUACACCACAGGGUAACGUAGCCUCCACAGACCCCUGAAGACUAGUCGGAAUAGACAAGGGAACUACUCUACCGACUAGGAGUAAAAUUCUGUAACCAUGUCCGACUAGGACUCCACCCUGUAACCCUACUCCCCCGACUAUAUGAAGGCGAGUAGGGACCCCCCCCCCUAAACAGGAGCUAAGAAGUUCGAUACAAUCAACACACAGGACGUAGGGUAUAACACGAUCUAGCGGUCCGAACCUAUCUAAAUCAUGUGUCCUUGCGUCACCAUCGACUCCUUGAUUCUCGAUGACACCCACCAUACAAAAAUACCACCUAGGGUACCCCCUAGGUGGGUUACCGGUCUAAAACACCGACAGCUAGCGCGCCAGGUAGGGGUAGUCGCCGAGUUUCUCCGCGCGAGAUUGAUGGCAUCCGUCAUUAUGGAGCUUGUUUUCACCUUUGAGGCAGGCGCAACCUUUGUUUUUGGGUCUGGAUCAUUUCAGCGCCACACCAUUAGCAUCCAGCAGAAGGAACAUCUCGACGAAAACUUUUUUCAGCAAGAAACGGGAGAUUUCGCCGAGAAAAACCAAGUUUUCAUGUCAACAACAACAAAUUCGACUACGGCUCGGACUCGACCUCAACUCGGACUAGUCGGCACAAGCUGAAACCCCAGUUACCCCGCAAGUCGACUUCAACCCGAAGACGAUUCCCGUACGGACUCCGCAACUCCGCCGAGAUCCACCAAGGUCUCCUUACUCGAACCCAACCCGAACUCGGGACAGUUAAGGAUUGCGACUACAACUCGGACUACGUCCAAGAAAUUCCAUUAUCAAGCCCAGCUCAAGGUUUGGUAGUUACUUCAACCCCACAAGGCAGAUUCGUUUAUUGGCCAGGGAGGAAGCCAUCUUUCCUCGCUCAUGACUACAAGUUGCGCCUUGUCGCUCACAUAGACAACCUCCCGUAUCAAGAAGGCAUCCCGCUUGCUUCAAAUUGCGAGGAAAGCACUACAGAGAUUGCAACAUCAAGCUCUGGAAGCUACUACCCAAACAGAGAAAUUUUUGUCAUCACACAAAACAAUGAUGUGGGUACUAGCCAACAGAGAACCCCUCGAUGGAUAGCACAGCUCGACAACAUUUCAGAAGAUGAGUCAUCAGCUAACGCCCCGCAAGACGAAACUUCUGAAUAAAGAAACCAAAGAAGGCCACAUAAUGUUACUCGGGCUGAACAUUGACAACUACUAGCCACAAACAUCCCCAUCAUGAACCUUGAAAGAGCAUUUGACGCAGUACAAGCCCAAGAACACAACACUCCACUCGCAGCAAUUGCCUCAAUCAAUAUUAUACCAACUCUCAUACCUCAUGACAGAGAUAAUGAAUUAACAACUCAACUCGCGCAGCGAGGCAAUGGAUUAAUCGCGCAACUCGCAGAGCAAGCUUAUAAACUACUUGAUAAAGACUCGCCAAUCCCAUCUAUUCCUCACAACUCGGCCCAUUGAGAUGGCAGUAGGGGCAUCGCGGCCCACGCUAUCCAUCAUGAGGCUCAAAGAAACAAUAACGAGGUAGUCAACAAAACAAGGCAACAUAGCCAGGGACAAAGUGAACGUGAGGCCCCAAGAUGAAAUAAGGACGCUGGAGAUCCCAGCUGCACCAACUCUGCAAAAAGCCCUCGCCAUGGCAGAAAGAAUCAUGAGGCAUCAAUUUUCAGUGAUUUAAGGGAAGUAAUCAACAGUCGUCGCGAACGCGAACGCGAAGUCGACAACUAUAACCAUUUUUCUGCUUUCACCACACGGGUAACGAGGACUAGGCUACCCGAAAAGUUCAAGCCAACAGGAAUCACUAAGUACGAUGGCAAGCAGGACCCAGUUCAAUGGCUCCGGUGUUACUCGCUGGCAGUUCAGGCAGCCGGAGGUAACGACGACACAAAGGUCAUCCAUUUUCCCAUAUGAACCCGCGCCUCUAACAUGUCUUGAGUCACUCAAACCUAGAACAAUUGACUCUUGGAAAGAUUUGAUAAAGGUUUUUACCAAUAACUACGCGGGCUCCAUGUCCCGACCAGGCAAUAAGAUUGAUCUAAGUCAAGUCAAAAAAAAAGAAGGCGAGACACUACGCGACUACCUACAUCAAUUCUUCGAAAAAAAGGCUAUAAUAGUCGACAUCUCAGAAACAGACGUUAUCGAGUUCUUUCAAAAUGGCCUCUAUGAUCGUCGAACAUACCAAUACUUUGGCAAACGACGACCAGUCACCAUCAAAGAUCUCAAAGUCAUGGUACAACAAUGGGCAGAUAAAUAAGAUAAAGAGCGUGAGCGAUUCGGCUCCCAUCGCAACUGCAGUCACGACAAUAACAACAGUCAUGAACAAGAUAGGAACCGAAAUACUAUACAUGAAACAAAUACUUGGGUAAUCCGAACCGCAAACGCAAAACCGACAACACUGUUGCUACCAUGACCAACUCAGGGAAGAAAGGAUCUCGCAAACGCGACGAGGGACCUACCUUCACCGAGUUACUCAAGAAGCAAUGCACAUGGCACCCAAACAGCAAACAUUCAGCGAUAGAUUGCUACAGCAUGCGCCGAGUAAUGCAAGAUAUACCCGCACCACCACCUCCCGAAGAAUAUAGUCAGAAAAAGGAUAAGGCAAAAACAAAAUUGAUAAGGAUGAAGAAGAUGAGGGAGAUUUUCAAACCGCCUCCAAGACAGUCAACGUCAUUUUUGGCGAAAUCCCGAGUACCGCAUCCAAGCGGUCCAACAAGCUAGUACUUAGAGAAAUUUUGGCCAUUGAGUCAGUGGCUCCCACACCACUCAAAUGGUCUGAGGUACCCAUAACUUUCAGCAGAAAGGAUCAAUGGACAAGUUUCUCAGAACCAGGUCGAUUCCCUCUGGUACUCGACCCUGUUGUUGCAGGCUCAAGAUUGACAAAAGCACUCAUCGACGGCGGAAGCGGACUCAAUGUCAUCUUCGUCAAAACUUUAAGAAAAAUGUGCCUUGACAUCACGGACAUGCUCACUCCAACGGACUCACUGUUUUACAGGAUUGUCCCAGGAAAUGCAGCCAUACCACUAGGCCAAGUUGUCCUGCCAGUAAGUUUCGGCACUAAGGAGCAUUACCGAACUAAGUACAUCAGAUUUGAAGUCGCCGACUUUGAAACUUCUUACCAUGCCAUACUCGGGAGACUAGCUUUGGCUAAGUUUAUAGCUAUAUGGCUAUACCACAUUACGUCAACUUGGUACUCAAGAUGCCAGGAUCCAAGGGAGAAUUAGCGCUACGCGGAGACCUAAGGCGAUCAUACGAAUGCGACACCUUGUACACAACAUCCCAACCCUUAAGAAGGUCGACGGUUUGGCACGGGUAUGAGAGAUAAUAAACUUGUGUGGCCUGUUGAGCCACAAUAUAGACAUCGUCUCCCGAUAAGAUGGAUGAUUGUCGAAUUUCGACUAGCCCAAGAUUAGGGGUCCGUCUCACUACUUCGGGAUCAAACCAAUGGCAUUUGAAUAUAACGGGAUUAAGAGGUUUGCAACCAUGAAACAUGAGUUUGUAUAUCUCUUCUAUUCUUUCGUAAUACUCAACCCCAUCUAAGCCUAGCAUAAAAACUCCGGUAUUUGUGGUUCUUUGAUUGGGCCGACUCUGCUCGUGGCUUGUUGUGUGAAAGCGAUAUCCAUUCACGUCAUAAGCCAUAAAUGACCUGACCCUACAGGCACAACCAUCGCCAACCUGUCUCAACUCGGCACUCAUAGACGCAUCGGUUUGUCCCUACAAGUUCAAGCAGGGUAGUUUGUUAUAUUAGUUACACAUACGAGCAACUUGUAAUGUCAAAAUAAGUACGAGCCAAAUUGGACAGUACCUUCUGUUUGAACCAAGAAAUGAAAUCGGGCAUUCCAUUUCCCGCAUCAUCUCUAAGAAGCGUCGAAGCUUCCUGCAGGGUAGGUUUCCUUGAUUCACACUAGAAUUGUUCAUGAAAUUCUCAAUACCAACGAGAAACAAGGGAGUUGGACACAAAUUUGUGACUACUUGAGAAAUAGUUUGUUGAGAACUUACAGCACAUACGGCUCCACUUUGGAUAGGUUGGUCAACACAUAUAGCAUAAUAGUGCACCACUCUUCAUGUUUCAAGAUCUUGUUAGUCGCACCACUUGCACUUCCUAGUUGCCCUCUAAAAAUGCUAAGGUUCGAUUCAUCUUCUAUGUUGCCAGCAUUGUAACGAGGGGGUGGAUUAUGCAUGCUAGGAAGGUUGUCAGCAUAGUAUUUUGUUGUGAAGUUUGACACCUCUUCCAAAAUGUAUGCCUCUGCUAUGGAUGCUUCAAUUUUGCAUUUAUUUUUACAUUUACUUCGAAGAACCUUUUGAAAUCUCUCAAUUGAAUAGCACCAACGGCCCUGCAUAGGUCCCCCCAUUCGUGCCUCAUACGGGAGGUGCAAAAUCAAAUGCUGCAUCGAAUUGAAGAAGCCGGGUGGAAAGAUCUUCUCCAACUUACAGAGUAACACAGGCGCCAUUCUUUCCAUGUCUGCAACCACAGUACGAGAUAACUCCUAAGCACAAAGCUGUCGGAAGAAAUUGCUCAACUCCGCUAGCACUAUCCAGACAUGCUCAGGGACAUAGCCUCGAACCAUCAUCGGCAAUAACUGCUCAAGCCAUAUAUGGUAGUCAUGACUCUUGAGCCCGUUGAUUCGCAAAGUAGCUAAAUUCACUCCCCUCUUCAGAUUCGCUGCAUACCCAUUAGGGAACAUUAACGUUUGGAACUAUUCUAGUACUUCCCUCCUUUGGGCCCUCGUCAGAACGAAAUCGGCCUUAGGCUUUCUCUAUGACUUCCCACCUUUGGGAGGCGCUAUGUCUAGCUUUGGUCUAUUGCGUAACCUCGCUUGAUCCACUCUAGCCUUAACAUUAUCCUUUGUCUUAUCAGGAAUGUCCAUGAUUGUGCCAAAAAUUGCCUCGGCGACAUUCUUUUCAGUAUGCAUUACAUCAAUGUUAUGUGGAAGAAGAAGGUCAUCAAAAUAGGGGAGGUUCCACAAGCUUGACUUGUGAGUCUAGGUACGUUGCUCACCAUAUCCCAGAAAACCAUCUCCUUGAGCAUUGACCUUGAGAGCAUCUAACUGAGCACGAACCGUGCAACCAAUCAUCAUCUGGGCUGCAGGGCCUUCAACUACUACAUCUUUCGUAAAGUUCUUCAUGUCUCGUCUGAAUGGAUGGUCAAGAGGGAGGAAUUGUCGAUGUUUGUCGAACAAAGAAAACUUGUCACCCUUCGUCAACCAAAUGAAUCUCAGAGACGCCUUGCAUACUGGGCAUGGGAACUUCCUUUGCUAAGUUCCUCCCUUUGCCGAGUGUUGUUUUUCUCUUUUGCUGAGUGCCAAAGUUUGUCGAGUGUUUAUGCACAUUUUUGCCGAGUGUAAGUCUUUGUCGAGUGUUUCCACUAACGGACACUCGGCAAACAUGGUAACGGAUGUGCACGCGCCACAUUCUUUACCGAGUGCCUCCCUUUGCCGAGUGUUUUUGUCCUCUUUUGCCGAGUGUUUGUGCACAUUUUUGCUAAGUGUUUUUUAAUCUGUUUACUGUGUGUCACAUUUUUUGCCGAGUGUUUUUGUGUUAGCACUUGGCAAAUAGCUUCUCUGCCGAGUGCCCGAUAAAAUACACUCAGCAAAGAACUAGGCACAUGGCAAACCCACAGUUUUUGGUAGUGACAUUGCACCCAAUGGAUCAACUCUGGCUCGUUAGUGAUGUGUUGUUUUGAUUUUUUUUUAGUUUACAGACGUUUGUAUGCAUCUAAAUAGAUAUCUAUACAUUUAGAAAAGUCAAAACAACCUAAAAUUUUGGACGAAGGGAGUAGAAAAAUUUAGAUCCAUGGCCAUAUAAACCAUUGUUAGAGAUCAAAACAAGUUUCAAGGGGACGAUAGGCUGAUUUACAGGCCUUGCGUCCAAGAGUUGUUUUGUCAUGAGUUUUAUCUAAGUUCUAAGCUGUAGGGUGUAGUUUUAUCUUAGUUCUAAGCCGUAAGGCACCCUACGACUAGUCAGUGAGUGAAAGGAUCUAGGAUGUUGACUAGAGGGAGGGUGAAUAGUCAAACCUGAAAAUUUUCACAACUUCGAAUAAUUUUAUCAACGAUUUCUGGAGUUUCUAGAAAUUGUUCCAAAAAUUCCACAACUUACGGAAUUUUUGGAGAAAUCUACGAAUUCUCCAUAGAAACAGAAUUUGAACUACGACCUUAUAAAAGACUUGUUCAAAAGUAAAUCGACGAAUAUAAGUUAAGCAAUAGGAUAUUCUAGGCCUUUGGCACAAGAUAGAAUAGCUGGAAACUUGCUAGAAAAAGUAUAUUGAGCACAAACCCUAGAAAUAUGUUCUAUACUUCAAUAUGAACAAAUUUAAGAACAACAAGCACAAGAGACAUAAGGAUUUAUUUACCGGAGUUCAGCUUCACACCUUGAAGUCUACGUCUCUAUUGAGGUCCCACGAAUGGUGGGUUUUUCACACCUAAGCCACUUUCCUCACUCUAGCGACCACAAAAAUCAAGCUAGAGUCACUUACUCAAUUGUCGGGGUAAUACAAACUUCCCGUAGGCAGCCACAAUCCUUGGAUGCUCCACAGGCAACGCCUAGCUAGCUAGGAGCCUGAAGCUCCAAGAGUAACAAAUGCGAAAUCACGAGCUUGACGAAGAACAAAAUGCUCAAGAGAUUGGAAAUCAACUCACUAGCACUCUCUCUUGCUCUCCCUUUGAAUCCCUCCUUAAAUCCCCCACCAAAUCUUCACCUAAAGGCUAAGAGGGGAGUGAAGAGGGGCUUCGAAUGUUUCUAAACGCUCAGGUCAAUGUUAGGUUGAGAGAAAUUGUGGGAGGGGGUAUUUAUACCCCUUCACCCUCGAACUAACCAUUGGGGUUUAAGUUCUGGAAUUUUUCAGAAUUUUUUACGGAAACUUUGAAACCCUCGGAUUCUUCUGGAACAAUUUCCGGAAAUCUUUGAACUUCCGGAAUUUUCCGGAGUACUUUCCGGAAACUCUGCAAACUCCAGAAUAUUCCGGAAGAAUCUCCAAAAAAUCCAGAGCUCUCAUGUUAGCACUAUUUUAAGUAUCCUCAUGUGAUGUGCAGGUGCAAAGGUGUCUCUUAUAGAUUGGUUAGAUCAUUUUAAGCAUUUUUUUCAACAUAAAGACCAAAGAUUACGCAUCCCUCUUAAUAGUGCGGCAUUCCAUAGUCAAAUUCAAAUCAAAAAUAAAUUUAACCUUCAAGGUAUACCUUUUAUCUAUUCAUUUCCUUUUUGAGGGGUUAAUGACAAGUGCCCCAAGUCCAUCAUUCCUUUUAAACCUACUUAUGCACUUGAAAUUUCAUUAGACACUUAAAGCUCGCGUCAUUAAUUCACCAAAACUCACUUAGGGAGCCAAGAUACUCUUCAGUGAGCCCUCGAAUCUUUAAGCGAGAGGUCUUAGGAAGUCACCCUUUGUGAAUGUGAGUAUUCAAUUGUCAAGUCAUCCCUCAUCGAGGGUUACAAGGUGGUAUUUAUAAGCCAAGGGGGAAGCCUAGUACGAAAGAUGAUCCUACCCCUUGAAUACAAGAUGUUGAUUAGGAGUUGACCGGGGUAAAAUUAUCCUAUACAAUAUUUACAAUACAAUAAUCAUCAGUAGAUCUUGUUAUGUGGGGUCACACAUACCAAGAGCGUGAGUUGGAAAGACUCCCGUACGAUGACUUCGGAGUCUUUCUUGAGGUUCCUCCUCUUGGCCAGCUCUUCCGGAACGCUCCCGAUACAACUCUCGGAUCAGGCUACAAGGAGCAUUUCUGAUCAGAGACCUUGGGAACGUCGCCUUCGGAGGUAGGACAGACAUCUCCAACAUUAGCUCCCCGGUCCCUUAGGGCAUGUAGAACCCACAUACAGUUUGUCGUCUAUAUGAUGAUGUCACACCAUAUAAAGACACCUAAAUAGACAGCGCGUACAACCCAUUGUCUGUUUGGUUGUCUGUUAAGUCUUUAAUGACCGCAUGUAGCCACGAUCAAUCGUAAAUAAGACUUGUGUAUACUACUGUGUUGCUUGUUGAAAAAAAGUAAGAUCAAGCAUAAAUAAGAUGAUCGUAGUUACACUAUCUUUUUGAAACAUGAAUAUAAAUGAUAUUCAAAUAUAUUUAUAUUAAUGUAAUAGAACAAAAUCCGAGAGUAAGCCUCUACGACGGCGUGCCCGACGUCCUGCAUAUGUACACAGCAGUUAUUCUUCAGUCCAUGUUCAGAGUUACAUCAUUUUAGACCUAUCGAACAUCUUCCACAUUGUUCAGAAUCCACAGCUGAUGGGAUGCCAAACUUACCAUGUUGUACUGGACCUUUAGAACAUCUAUAAAGGUUGGAGGCAGGUUGGGGAAUCUGGAUUUCAGAAGCUGCGCAAGAGUGUCGACUCUUUCGAUGCGCACCGACAUCUUGUCAAGUUCUGACGAACUAUCCUUCAUGAAGUUCCAGGAAUGCCGUCCUGGGGACUUCUUGCUCUUUUCCUCUAAAAUCCUUUGGUUCCAUGCAAACACUGCACCCUCCAACCGGUUUAUAGUCUCGAGCACACUAUGCUCAGUUUUCAAACUGAGAGAAACAAAGAUUUCCUCUAUAGGAAUAUACUCCGUGGUUAUAGCUUGAUACAAAUCUUCACCCAAGCUAGCUCUCCCAGACUGCAAAGACCAAAAAAAUAUUUACAGUGUUAUCAGAAUCUCAAUUCAACCACUGUUGAAUCAUUGUUGAACUACUAAAAGAGACUUCAGUCAUAUAUCAGAAAUCCAAUGGGGUUUAAAGGUCAACCAAAAUUUGCUAUAGCCUACAAAAUAGUCAAUAUCAGGACAGUCAGGAAGUUUAUCUCACCAAUCAUCACAAAUUAAGCAUCAAUAUUGAAAUUCCAAAACAUACUACUUUUCCUGAACUUGCAUGCCAACAAAAUCAGCAAGUGCUGCGGAAACCAUCAAGCUUACAGCCAGUACAAGAGUGAUGAACGGGGCCAGCGGGCCACUGAACGCCGGCGAGGCGCUGAAGUCGCUUCCGGCUUCGCUGAACAUGAGGCUGUACCCGUACGGUAGCGGCCUGUCCGGCAGCUCCGGUACGUCCAUGUCCCCCUCCAGCAUCCUCAACGCGUCGCCGAUGGUCGGCCGGAGCGCCACCAUCACGUGCGCGCACAAGAUCCCCACGAGCACGAACUUCUCCAUGACCCCGCUCCGGGGGCUCCCGAAGUCCGCCACGCGCGCGCAUCUCGCCGUAAUGCAGGUCCUUGUCCCUGUAGAUGAAGUCCUCGAGUGCGCCGUUGGGCAUGAAGUCGUAGACGAGGAACCUCUGCUUCCCUUCCUCGAUGUCGUCGGUGGCGAUGCAGCAGCCGCGGAGUGGCACCAGGUUCCGGUCCGGGUCCGGGUCCAGCAUCUUCUUGACGGCGACCACGGACCCAUCCGCUAGCACGCCGCGGUAGACGGCCCCGAACCCGCCACAGCCGACGAGGUUGCGCUCCGCGAAGCCAUUGGUGGCCUUGGCGAGCUCUGCGAAGGUCAAGCCGGCCAGAUCUACAGGUACAAGCAGGUGGGGAGGCAGCACCUGCGGCAAAUCGAGGAACGAUGACCCGGAUCUGCAGGUGAGCGGAGAUUCAAGCUGCCGCAGCUCCCUUUCCCCGUCUCCGAUCCAUUUUUCCGCCACCGCUUUGUUCUUCAGUUGCAUCGGUGGAGGAUUUGGUGCAAUCUCUGCUGUGAAACAGAGUGGGAAGCAGCCGAUCUCUCCGCACCAAAGCGCGCUCGUCACAGCGGAUCCGCCAGCGCCGUCGUCGAGAGGAGACGAUGCAUACAACACAUGUUUUACCGUUGGUUUCCUCUUGGAGCACGAGCGCUCGCCGUCGCCUCACGAGGCGACGAGGGCACCGUCUCCUCACCAUACGAGGGUGUUUUGUGAAAAAGUGGUAGGACGCAGAAGGCACUCGACAACCCGUUGUACGUGCCCUUAGACGCAUGAACAGAGCAUCUUAGAGCAUAUUAAAAAACAAAUUUCGACAUGUCCGACAUUCCUCGCACUCGGACGUCAUAACUUGGGUUCAGCAGGAGGCUGGUCUUACCGAAACCCGAAAGUCGAGACUUCGGGGGAAGUUCGUCCAUGCAAAAUACCUUAAAUUCUUUAACACGUUUAUCUACUACCUUAUAAUAAAGUUGCUGGUCUCGGCGUGCUCCGAGGGGCUUAGCUACAGACACUUACAUGUGGGACCCGUAACUCCAAUAUUUAAAAAAAGAAACUCAGAAGAACUGGAGACUUCCCUUCCAUCUUCCGACUAGACAAAGGCACCACAUGUGUCUCGCCUGUAUCUGAUUGCCGCCGCUAUAGUUUUCCAAAUGGGCCAGCCCCACUGGACGGCCCGAGGUCCGACACUAAAAAGCAUGGCACUAACACGGGCUCGGCACGAGGAGAAUAAUGCCAGGGCUGGCCCAACAUGAUGAUAGUGCUGGGCCUGGGCCGCCUCCUCGGCAUGUUGGGCCAGCACGGGCACGGCACAAUUAUCAGUCGGCCUGAUAGCGGCCCGUAUUAGGAAACCCUAGUGUAUAAACUAUUUUUUCUACCCCUCCCCAUCUUCCCCUACCCCGCCACACCCAGCCGCCUCCGACCUCCCUGCUCCCUACGUUCCACCUAGGUACCUAGCUUCCCUCUCCUCCCUCUGCCUCCCUCCGCCUCCCUAGCUCCCUCCGUCAGUCCAUCCCACCCAGCUCCACGACCUCGCCCCGCCCCUGGUGCUCCACGACCCCGUGCUCCGCCACCCUGGCGCCCGUCGCUGGGGCCACUGGAGACGCGCCUGCCGCCACGUGGGGCCGCCGCUGGGGCCGCAUGAGGCAAGCGGCUACCGCUGUGGGGGACCGUCGCCAGGGCCGCCUGGAGGGGCGCCCGCCGCUGGUGACGCAGAGGCGAGCCUGCCGUCGAUGGGACGGCCUGAAAGGGCACCCGCCACCGCGGAGGGGUCGCCUGGAGGCGCGCCCGCUGCCGCUGCGGGGCCCGUUGCUGCUGGUGCCUGGCCCGGCACUAGCACGGCAACGCCCGUCGUACCAUCGGGUCGGAUCAGCCCAAUAAAAAGAUCGUCGGGCCGGGCCUGGGCUGCCUCAUCGGCACGCAGUGCCCGCCUAGCCCGACACGAAAACCCUUCGGGCCUAUUAGUGCCGGGCCACAUCGGGCUAGUGCCGGGCUAGGGUCGGGCGGCCCAUUUGGAAAACUAUACCCGCCGCGUCCGUCCUCGCCAGAGUCCGGAGGACCAAGCCACCCGCUCAGUCCGCGCAUCGCCGAAAGCUUGGCGACGGAACGUCGCCCCGCCCCACCCAUAACACACCGGCCGCUCCGCCCAGGCCGCUUCACACCACCAGCUUCGACUCCGACCACCCUGUGCCGCUCCGUUUCGUCAGCCCCGCCUCGCCGCGCCGCCGCCGGCUACGAUUCCACCCAUGGACGCCACGCAGCGCUGCCUCGCCCAGCCCCACAGUGCUGCUCUGCACCCAGUCGUGCCAUUCCGCCGGCCCCACAACGUCGAGCCGCCACCGGUCGCCGUGCAGCAUUGCGUCGUCCGGCCCGCCACGCACCGACCAUGUUGGGAUCGCAAAAAAGCUAGUUACCCUCAAGCGUGUCUUCUUCAACAAGAGCUAGCUAGCCUUACAAGAUCAAGGUCAAUUGUACAAACUACGCUAACCUCGCAUCUUCUCUAUCAUUUUGAUCUCAAAGCUAAAGAUCACUUGCUCAUGGCUACGAUAUGAAAUGACUUACCCUCAAGCACUCAAAGUUAAUCUUGAGCACCAAGUCCUAAGGAGUUUCCAGGUUCGAGGCUAAGGAGUUUCCCAGCUCGAGGUUAAGGAGCUUACCGGCGCGAAGCUAAAGACAUGAAGGCGUAAAAAGCAUGACUACGCGUGAGAAGUGUAACCACUAGAAGGCGUGAGAAACGUGACUAUAGUGAGGUGUGAGAUGUGUGACUCUAUAGGAGAGUCCAAUUUGUACACGUUACCUACCUUAUGUACGGCAUAUUUUAGAAAUGUAGUGGGUGAGAAAGGAUAUUUAUAGUAUGUAAAAUGACGUCCGAAUCAUUGUAAAAGGGAACUCCUACCCGUUGUAAAGGAAGGAUAAGUUUUGAACGAGAUCACAAGUGCUUUUCCUAUUUCAUCCGUUGUAGCGUGUUUGAGAUUUGAGAUUUGCUUCCCAAAAGACCGUCCCGUCCGUCCCUGGUCGUCCCGCACACCUAGCCCGUGCAGCCCCGUUCCGGAGCUCUGGGGUCCACAAGGCGCCGCCCGCUCGGCGGCGACGCGCCACGCCACCGGCCGCAUCCUUCUCGCUGGCUACAGGCUCGAGCGGCUAAGGGGAGGAGACAACCAACGGCAACGAGAAGGCCCAGCCUCAGGGCGGAGGCAACCAGCGGGGAGACCACUUGGCUGGCCGCACCGGUUGCGCUGGACCACGGCAACCACUGGGCGGCCGGCUCGCUCCACCCGCCUGCUCGACCGCUAACCCGCGCCGCCGGCUGCUCGCGGCCGCAUGCGCCGCCCGGUGGGGGAUGGGAGAGCACAUCAGCAACCGCAGGGCGGCCGUCAACACCGCUUGGAUAUUGGCAGCUCUGCGGCGCGAGAAUCACCGAAUCGGGCCACCGGCGUCGGCUGUGCCGCGCUGCUUCAAUGCUUCCACGGUUCCACCGACGACCUUCAAGAGCAGUCUGCCACCUUGCCCUCUCACAGCCCAUGCUGCCCUCUGGAGCAAUCAGCAGCCGUGGCUUCGGGCUCCCCAAGCCCAACGAUGACCUUGUAGCUACAGGCAAGACCGCAAUCUGCAGGAAUCAGAUCACUCUCCUAGUCUCCAUGCUUUGUUGGAGAGAGAGAACAAUACGAGAGGCAGGAGAUGGUCAUGGCCUCGUGGGACAUGGGGAUGAGGAUGACCGCAUAGCGAGUAGCAACAAUGAAAAGAUAAGGGCACGGUGCACUUAAAAAAGAAGAAGAAGAAAAUAUAGCAUUACUAGCGGCGGCCGUUUAGGCUCCUUCCUCACUAGCUUUUUACAAAACAGGUAGGUUUUCUUUAUUGAUUACAACAUAAGUAUAUAUUAAGCAAAACAAAGAAAAUUUCUACAAAAGAAAAGAUAGAGAGAAUAAAAUAAAAUUAUAGCAGAAUAUAUAGCCGUUGUUCUAUGAUGGGAAAAUAGAGUUUCUUUACUAAAAAAUAAUCAGGAUAAAUAAAUGCUUGAAAGUCUAUUUUUUCAUCUAGAGGACCGGCAUGAAUUCGAUUUUGGGUUUCAUUUUGAUUUGUUUUCUUAAUUUUAUUCAAUACUCAAUGCUAUAUUACAUAUUUUGAGUGCAGUAGCAUAAUUCUUUUGGUUAUUGCUUCAAGUUGAUAUUUUUUAAAUGUACUGAAGCUUCAAUGUUUGGAGCCUCUCAUGCUUCCUGACUCCACAUAGGACCCACAUAUUAUUCAAGUGGAACCCAUAUAGGAUCCGCACACUAUUCGGAUGGGAUCCACCAUUCAAGUGGGACUCACAAACUUUUCAGUAGGACCUGGAUAUUGUUUGGUGGGACAUACAGUACCAUUGAGUGGGUCACCCAUGGCUCCCAUGGUCUUUUUUUUUUAAAUUAUCGAUGGCGGUUUUUUCUAUUAUUUGCAAUUAUAUUGUAUGGAAAGUAUAAAAUAUAUUUAAUUAUUUUCUAUGUAUUAAAAAUAACUAAAAUUUGCAUACUACAUUCACAUGCGGUAGCCGUACUAUUUUUUGGACUUCGCUUUCACUUCAUAAACUCGCAAAUAUGAUAGAAUUAUUCAUCCAUUGCUAAUUUUAUCUUUUACCUCUAUCAAAACCAAGAAUCAGCGUAACAUACCACGUCAAUCCGUCAACUAUACUAAUAACGCCCAAAAGUCAAUCCGUCAACUAUACUAAUAACGCCCAAAAGUCAGUAAAUUCCUAAGGAAAAAAAGUUAUGCAUGACCAUUAUGAUAAAAAAUGGUUUGAAUUAAAUAUUGAAUGCGAUCAAUUUGGUGUUGUAUUAUGUUUUAUUUAUUUAUUUGGUUCAAUGCAUCGUUGUGAUGCUACUUUGAGCAUAGUAAGAUAAUAAAUUCGUAUUUCAUUAUUUUUUUGAGGUUAACAUAUUUUGUGUAGGCGCGCAUCGCGCGCCAACGUGACUAGUUGUCUUUAAACUGCAAGCAGAUAAAAACCCAGGGUGGCUCGAGCUCCUCCGGCAGCCUUUUUUUUUUUUUUUGAGAAACCGGGUGGCAUUUCCUUUAUUGAUAUAAACGUUUACAUUCACUGAAAAAAAAAAAGAAAAUUACACCCAAGUCCUUGUAAGGCUUUCCCGGUCAUCUUCGAUGCUGGCAACCGGAGCCACCGCUCGACGCACCAUCCCUGGAAGAGAGGAACACCGAACUUGCAACUUGAAGCCGAAUCCCAGCUCGACGAAGAUGCUCUGGAGGGACGCAACCGCGCAUAGGGUAGAUAAAACGUACCAAAUCGCUUGAGGAACUGCGCUGGGGGUCGCCACCAGAGGUGACCAAGCUGAAACCGACGCAGCAUUCUCGAAUGACUGGUACGGAGCAAGAAUCCCCAUCGAAGGAAACCCAAUCGAUGAGGAUAGAACUAAUCCUAACCUACACAAACCUAAUCUAACAGGAGAGGAUAUGUAGAUCCGGCGUCUCCCCUUCACCUCCGGCACCGAAGCGGCCACCGGAGGCGAGGAGGCACCGGAAGCGAAAUCGCCUCUGUCGGGCCCACGAGAGCACAAGCCCACGAGACACCUGCACUCGUCGUGGGAAUCGUUGGGCAGGCCCAUUCCGCUCGGCUGACUCCCUGCACCCGCCGCCGCCAGGAGACUUGUCUCCUUCCUUCGACUACCGCUGGUCCGGUAAGGUGAGCUCCGUCCGACUCCUUCUUGCUUUUCUCUCCUCCUGUGCUGCAGGUCACGAGGAUGGUGCAGCCACCCUGUGCGCUCGGUCCGGCGGCGGUAGGCUAUGGAAUGAUAGAAUCCGAUUGUGCUCGCCUACCGCCUCGUACGCCCUUUGUUUAACCUUUCCUUCUGCAGAAGCUCGCAACUUUCGAGCGAUUCGUAGCUGCGUAACCAACACGACCUGCGCCAUGGAUUCUUCCUCCACUUUACUUCUAAAUGCUGUACAGCAGCAACAAACCAGAGCUAGGAAAACUCGUGGCAAAGCAGAGGGGUCCGAUGCGCGGAGCGGCGGGGCAGAGCCGGCGGCGACCCGCCCCCGGCGAGAGCUCCUCCCUAGUCCCUACGGCCGCACUGCCAGAUACGAAAAGUCCGAGAGUCCGAUCAUCAAGCGCCACAUUUUUAUGAUUCGAAAGUUUUUCAUGGGCUACCCUGAAACUCAACCGGAGCAAGAAAAAAGAAAGACAAAUAACUAACGAAAGCAACGCGCAUGGAUGAUGUAUGGACGGACUCAGGGCCACGCACACUCAGCGCUUGCUUGGCUCCUAAUGCUAUUUCAAUCGCUUUCAACCUGUUCCUGGUUAAGCAAUGUAUAGAAGAACAGGUUCACUGAGUUUACAGUGGUAAUUACAUUGCUCAGGAAAUGCUGCUGGGCAGCCUUUGCUGUGACUGCCAAGACUGCACAUGCCUGACAUGUCAUUUCCGGCUACUGCUGACGAUGGAGCAGUGUAGAUGGAGCUUAUGGAUCAUGGAUUAAAUGCAGCGACACUAGCAAGCGUUACUUAGCUCCUAAUGCUGUUUCAAUCACUUUUGGCGUGUUCUUAAGCUGAGUCGAGCUGCAGACUUGCCAAAGCGUUGGUUACUCGAUUAGUUAAUCUUUAGUCCGGACUAAAAUUCAUGUCACAUCGAAUAUUUGAGGUUAAUUAGGAAGAUUAAAUAUGAGCUAAUUAUAAAAUUAAUUAUACAGAGGGAGGGUAAUUCACGAGAUGAAUUUAUUAAGCCUAAUUAAUCCAUCAUUAGCACAUGUUUACAGUAGCAUCACAUUGUCAAAUCAUGGACUAAUUAGGCUUAAUAGAUUCGUCUCGCAAAUUAGUCCCGUGCAAUUGAUUUUAUAAUUAGUCUAUAUUUAAUACUUCUAAUUAGUAUCUAAACAUUUGAUGUGACUAAAGAAACAAACACCCUUAGUCGUUCACAGUAGCAAUUACACUAUACACUGUAACUUGCUGCUGUAACUACCAACGCUGUGCAUGUAUGCAUGGUUUCCUUUACUGCCUGACAAUAUCAGUGGUCCAUGGAUGCAUGGCUCAAAGUACCUUUCACCUUUUUUUCUUAACACUGAUGAACCCUUACCAUUUCAGAUGAAAUCUGAGCCACAUGAUGCUGCUGUCAUGUGUGGACAUGCCCAAAGGUUUACGCCGUAACAGACCCCACUGAAAAAUUGAACACUAGAGCCACUCUGGUUUGAACUCAGUAUCUGCUCUGCUUAACAAAUGCAACCUACCUCAUCCUGUAACUGUCCUUUCUAGUUUCUCACUAACUGCAUUAUUAAGCAUACAGAACACCAUGAAUCAGGCUAGUACAGAUAAAAACGACACAGCUGGAGGCCCCCAAAGACAUAAAUGAUUACUCGAUGUACACAUGUUUUUAGUUUUGCACAUGGAGAUGACAACGAAAAUGCUCUUGGAUUAAUCUUUAGCUAGUUUCUAGGGAUCGCCAUGAUUAGAGUGGGACUAAUCACUAGCCUGUACAAUAGGAUUCCCCUAUCUCAAAUCUGUACUUCCCCACUCACCAAAGCAUGGCCCAGACUUGGAAUUAGGUUGUUGGCAUCAAACUUGGUCUCCAUUGUAAUUCGAAAGACUCAUGUAUGUGAUUUGCGAGAUCUGUAACCUACCUAUUUGGAUCCGAUUAUGGAUUAUGAAAAUCUAGAUUCUGGAUGGAUUCUCAAAAUCUAGAUUUUGGGCAAAAUCUGGGUAGACUUGUUUGGAUUCCUAUAUUCCAAAAUCUGAUUUUUAUGGUUGUUUGUUGCAUGCCUUCUUUUGCCCUUCGUACCAUUUCAUGUCCAACAUGCUGCUGCUCAAUAUCAGUCAAGGAGACAAACAAAUGAUCCGAAGUGCAUGAAUGCAACGGCCUAACGGUUCACACAUACAUAAUAUUUGUCAAUACAAACACCCUCUCACAUUACACUCUUCAUAAGGAAACAAAACAUUUGCUAUAGAAUCUCGUUUAGUUUGUCUCCUCAGUUUUUACUCGUUUAGUUUGUCUUGUCGGUUCACAUUGUUUGUAUCCUUUUUGCUGCCUGACGUCUCAUUUCCUGAAAUCCCAGCAUGCCUCAAAGUCUCUUUCCUCUUCUUUUUCUUGGUAAAGAAAAAUAAGGCAGCUAAUGGAUUGAUGUUUAUCGUUUUAGGAGAAAUCUGGGCCACAGACUGCUGCUAGUUGCUACUAUGAUACUACAGCGUAAAUGACACCUUCCCUAUCUUAUCUUACUGUCACAUAAAUGUCACCAUCCCUAUCUUACAGUUACAUCAGUAAAACCUAGUCGUGUGCUGAAAAAUUCAUGCAACACCUGAACAAACUAGUUGUUCACCGUAAACUAAAACAGAUAAACCCUGCUCCUCAACUUAAAAACUCUGUAGACUUUCGAACUACUCAAUACUGAUUUUUCUUUUUGAGGAAACACUGCCUGCAUUGCUAAUCAGGUAAUGCAGCUAGCUUUAUCACUUAUCACUGCUACUGCUGGAAGAUGGAUCAGAGUAGAUUAACAAGACAACUGGAAACCCCAAUGAUAUGAAGAAUAAUUCCAUAUUUCCAUGUACAGAUGUUUUCCACAUGAGCACAUGGCCACAUGGAGAAGACAGCACACACAAUCUUAUGGAUUACCCCAGGUUUUACCGAUAUUUACCGAUGAACUUUCAGGUUUAUGAACAAUUAAACGAGGAACAGAACAAAGAUUCAACCCAAAAAAAACAUAGUGCUCCCUCCAUUUUUAAAUAUAUGACACUGUUGACUUUUUACUCUAACUUUGACCACCAAUAUCUAUUGAACGAGUUAGUUAAUUAAAGUAAAAUGUGUAUUAUUAUGUCUAUUGUCAAAUGUACUCUAGAUUUAACUUGUAGGUUUAUUUAUUUACAAAAAUAUUUGUAGAAAGACGAAUAAUCAAAUGAAUAAAAAAAUCAACGAUAUCAUAUAUUUAAGAACGGAGGAAGUAUAUAUAUGAACCGAGACUAGUUAACCCACUCUCUAAAUUGCCGCACCCUUUUUACCUCUGUACUUCUCCAUACCACCCUUUAUUGCAAUCCUUCUCCCUUGUUUCCGGUAUGCACACACACACGUAACAAGCCGACCUACCUCGAUCGAAUUAUGGCAGGCUAACCUGACGUGUCAUUACUGACUCGAAGCAUCCUGAUUCACAGACGACAGCGCUCAGCUUGGCGCCGUCAAAGUCCCGCAAUAUGGACCAAAAAUUGUGGAGCAAUGGAUGAGUUCAAAGUUCUGAGGUUUGGCGCUGAUUCCAUGACUACCAUCAGCACCUCAAAUGUGGCUGGGUCCUGCGGCGACUGUCUCUGUGGCUCCUCCGAUAAUGUCGCAGCCAAAACCGUUGUGGAAUGUGGCUCCAGGAUAAUUUUUUUUUUUAAAAUACGCAGGAGAGCUGCGUAUUUUUGUAUUAAGAAGGAAAAUAAAGUUUAACGUUACAAUACGGGUCAAUAGGGUACACGGACACGGUUUGUCACUUUUCAACAAUUAUACAAGAACAGAAAGAACCGAAUGAACAUGAUAAGAAGCAAAUUAGGAGCUAUCUCUGUCCUGGCACUCCUACUACCGCCGGCCAACCUAAGAUAGAAAGAUGUUUGGCACCGGCACUGCACCAUAGCUGAGCUUCUUCUGAAAUUUCGCGAACCAGUCGUCCAGGAGCUUUCGCAGGCGAUCUGUCGAACACCCUGUUAUUGCGUUCCUUCCAAAUUUUCCACGAGAUUAGCAUGAAGGUAGAGUCCAAUCCUCUCUUUUUCAGGCUGUUCAUUUCCCUUCGCUUCUGAAGCCACCAGUCAAUCAGGAGAGCCUCCUGGGUUGGAACUUGGUUCUGGAUGUUCAGAAGGCUGCUAAUGUCGUGCCAAACCUGUUGUUCGCACAGCGCACAGGAUGUCUGAUCUUGCAACCCCCGCCGGUGUCUCCUUUCCGUUGUCCAUAAUCGAUCCUUGAUCGCCAGCCACAUGAAGAACUUGACCUUCAGAGGUGCCCACGCUCUCCAGAUGGGCUUUGCUGCUGCAAAUUUUGUUGCGCCUUGGAAGAAUACUCUAUAAGCCGAUCUAGCGGAGCAGUUGCAUGAGAAGUCCCAUCUCCAAGAGACAAUAUCCUCUACUCCUGCAGUCAGUUGAAUCCCUUCCACCGCAUGCCAGAGAUCAACAUACUGUGAAACGGCAGUUUGUUACCCAUCUGACAAUAUCGCGGAUCCACUGUUUUUCCUGGAGCGCUUCUGCCACCGUUCUCCUCUUUCUGAUUCUCGGCAUGAUUAGCUUGCAAAGUUCUGGGGCAAUGAUACAUGGAGAUGGCUGCUCAAACCAUCUGUCUAUCCAAAAUAGUGCCAGGUUCCCAUCUCCUAACUGUACGUCAAUGGACACCUGAAACAUCUGUUGGAGAACUGAAUCAUGUCCAAAAUCCAUUUGCAGGUGUUUCCAAGGCCUAUUAGAAUCAAUCCGUUGCAGCCAUAGCCAUCUCAUUCUUAGAGCGAAAGAGGCAAUGCGGAGAUCAGUAAUACCCAGCCCUCCAAAUUCGGUUGGUCUGCAAGCUGUAUUCCAAGCAACCAGACACUGUCCACCAUGUGCUUUCUCUUUUCCAGCCCAGAGGAAGCCUCGGCGCCGUUUGUCUAUCUCUUGGAAUACCCAAUCCGGAAUUUUCAGAGAAAUCAACAUAUGAAUGCAGAUCGAGCUCAUGAUCACUUUAACUGUUGUCAGUCUGCCGGCUUUGUUCAUCAGAGGUACUUUCCAGGUUGGAAUGCUGGCAGAUACUUUGUCAACCAAUGGCUGCGGAUGAGCUUUCUUAAGACGUCCAACCGUCAAUGGCAGCCCCAAGUACUGGAUUAGAAAUUCAGUUACCCAUGCUGGCAGGAUGUGCCUGAUCCGGUUGACCUGUUCUUCUAUGCAAGCUAUCGGCGCGAUCAGACUUUUUCAGCAGAUUUGUAUGGAGCCCCGAGGCAUACCCAAAGAAUAGCAACACCUCUCUGAUUGUUAUCAUAUCCUGAACUUGUCGAGCUGCAAACAGCAUAAUAUCGUCGGCGUAGAUGGAGCACUGGUGAUGAAUGGCUGGGUCCGCAGGCGCUGAUAGCACUCCAUCUUGAACCGCUUUUCUAAUCAGGCGAUGCAAGACUUCCAUAAGGAGUAUGAACAACAUCGGGGAUAAUGGGUCACCCUGACUUAAACCCCUUGCAUUGUGAAUGAGACAUCCUGGAGCUCCGUUCAAAAUCACUCUUGUUGAUGCCAUGGAGAUCAAAGCUGCUAUCCAAUCACGCCAUUUGACUCCAAAGCCCAUGGCCUGCAGCACCUGAAGCAAGAAGGGCUAGCAGACUGUAUCGAAGGAUUUGGAUAUGUCAAGCUUGAGCAGAAGCGAAGCCUUCUUCUUGCGGUGCAGAGUUUUGGCCGCCUAUUCCACAAAUUUGAAAUUGUCAUGUACUGAGCGUUUUUCGAUGAAGGCACUUUGAUUAACAUCGAUGAGAUGAUCAAGUUCAGGAGCCAGACGGUUGGCUAGGAGCUUUGCGACAAUCUUGGCGAAGCUAUGAAUCAGACUGAUUGGUCUGUAAUCGCCCGGCGUUCUGGGCUCCUAUCCUUUGGGCAACAACGUGAUGAGAGCUCCAUUCAACCGGUGCAGCUGUCCACAAUUGCCUCUGUAGACGGCGUUGAAGGCUGCCAGGAUAUCCAUCUUGAUCACCGGCCAUGCUGACUUGUAGAAUUCAGCGGUGAACCCGUCAGGCCCCGGCGAUUUCUCACUGGGGAGUGAUUUGAUAGUGUUCCAUACUUCUUCCUCGGAGAAAGGCGCCUCCAAAUGCUCAAGGUUAGCCGGCUGAAUGUCCAAGGCAAGGAGAUCAAUAACCUCGCUUCUGUGCGUGGCUGUGCCCAGAAUGUCUUUGAAAUAACUGUAGAGCACUUCCUCUUUCUCCUCCUGUGUGAAUGCCAUGCCUCCUUCAUGCUCCAGUUUUGCAAUGAACUGCUUUGUGCGGUGACUGGACUGAAUGUGAAAUAGCCUAGUGUUGGCAUCGCCGUCUCGCAGAUAAAUUAUUCUUAAGUGCAACCGUGCCAUAGUUCUUUCUAGCGAUGAUAAGCCCAGAACUUUGCACUUGAGUUCUCUUCUCAGUUGGAUUUCGUCCUGAGUGAGCUGUCUUUCUUCUUGCACCCUGUCAAGCCAUAAGAUUAAAGUUUUGGCAACAAGCAAUUGGGUCUUUAUCUGCCAUACGUUGCGCUGACUCCAGCUUUGGAGCUCCCUAGCUGUGUUCUUAAGCUUGACAUCAAUCCUGGUGAAUGGAUCAGAGAUCGUUCGAGGACAUGUCCAUCCCUUUUGGACAGCGUCGAUGUAACCAAGUAGCUUUAGCCACAUAACCUCAAAGUGAAAGCAUCUCUUGACACGGAAUGCUGCAUUGGUUGCUAGGUGUAAUGGGCAGUGAUCAGAUAUAUCUGACGAGAGAGCCUGUAAGAAGCAAUAUGGAAAACUCAUCUCCCAUUCGAUAGUAACUAGAAUCCUGUCUAAUUUUUCCAUUGUUGGGUUAGCUCUCUCGUUGCUCCAAGUGUAGCGACGGCCAUGGAGAUAGACAUCCUUUAGAUGCAGCUCGUCCACGAACCUCCGAAAUCUCCCCAAGUUUCUAUGAUUGAUGUUGUCGUUGUUCUUGUCUGCGGCGUCGAGGAUGAGAUUGAAAUCCCCGGCAAUCAUCCAUGGGCACGCGACGCGACUUUGAACUGAACGAAGCUCAUCAAGGAACUCGAUUUUAUCAGUGUAUGGCAGCGGUCCAUAGACGGCAGUGAGACACCAAGGCUCGGAGGAGGCGCCCAUUGUGAAAGUGACAGUGACGGAGAACUGUCCAAUGUGCAACGUCGAACAAACAAUUUCAGGUCCCCUGCAAGCGAUCAGGAUCCCUCCACUAGCACCGGCAGACGGCAAGUAGGCAAAGCUCGAGAACCUGUUCCCGAGCAUUUCACAGACAAGAAACGGAGAGAUUACAUCAAGUUUUGUUUCCUAGAUACACAUAAUGGAUGCGUGGAAACGGAGAGAUUACAUCAAGUUUUGUUUCCUAGAUACACAUAAUGGAUGCGUUCGUGUCGCUCACGACCGCACGCAACGAAUCUCUAUGACACCUCGCGUUCAACCCACGGAUGUUCCACACAAGAAUGUUGUGGUUGCCAAGGUCCAUGGUGCUUGACGAAAGUUAGCAAUGGUGUUGCACCUCAGCAAGCGGUGUCUGAGCCGCCCACCUGGCUAGCGAUCUGCAGGAGCUCAUCGUCAGAGAGAUUGUUAGCUGCUGGGAAGAUAUCUCAAAGGGCUGCAAAAUGGCGCGGCUGCAUAGUCGUCGCUAAGAACUUGUGAAACUCCUUGGUAGUCACUCGCUCAUCUUCCUCAUCACGAGUGAUGAUCCCCAAUUUUCUCAUUGCCAGCACCUCUCCCUUCUUCGAUGGUCUGAUAGUCGUGUUAAGGGGUUGGCUCACCAAUCUGCCGCUGCGCCUUCGUGUCGGUGCCGUCCCGGUAGUAGCACCUUUCGUUGGUGGCCUGGCUGCAAGCGGUGCCUGAAGUGUGAGUCGCACACUGCUAAGAAAUGCAGUUGUUUUCGCAUUUGCCGCAGUUGAACCAGAGGUAGUUGAUGGGGAGGUUGAUGGUGGCACCAUCGCCGCUGGCGCUCUUGCUUUCUUGUGUGCGGCCUGCUGUGCCUUGGCGGCCCUUCCUCCAGAGCUGGGUUGCCCCAUCUUGGGUCUUGAUGCGCUAGGCCCAAAUGCCGUGGUGGAGCACCGCCUGGCCACUGGCGUCCAAGGCUCGCCGUGGUCCUCCUGGCCAAACUAGAGCCUAGUCGGAGCUAGCAGGCUGUCCCCGGCGUCCCUAGUGAGUCCCGUCUGGUUCCUUGAGCGGCGACAGUAAGUGCGGACUGCUGACGAUGGCUGUGCUGGCAUCGGCGUGCCGCUGGGCGGGUGGAGACCCAAAUUUGAAUUGGGUGGGAGAGUGGACUCGAUCAGCAUUGGAUCGGCGGCUUGUUCCACGUGGCAGCAUUGCAUUGGCAGCAACUCUUGUUGGGGUGAUAUCUGUGCAGGUGCUGGUGGUUGCGCUAACCGACGGCGCCGUCAUCCCUGGCGGCGGCUGAGGUGCAGCGCAUAGCAAACGAACUCCUGAGAGCGCACCUCCAGCUGGCGUGUCGCCGCUCCCAUCCUCGACCCCAUCCUGCGUGAAGAAUCCAUGAAGGCAUGGACCAACCCCCCCGGACUCCCCGUAGCCUCAGUCCGGAUUGCCGUGAUGUCCCGAGUCGCCAUCAUGGAAGGCGGUGACGGGGCCGGCGAUGGCGAAGGUGAAUGUGAAUGGAAAUCCGCCACGUGCCGCAGAUGGACGAGGGCCUUGUAGGAUAGGACCUUCUUAUGGCGCAGGUAUGGAGGGAAGUUGCCAAAGAUUAGCUGCAUGUCCGGGUCGUCAUAGACGAUCUGCUGCCCAUGUUCCGCGAUGAGGAUGUUCUUCCUUCUUGGGAUCCUGCUCGGGUCAUCCGUCCAUGCCGUGAUCUUCAUCUUGGACAUGUCUGAGCAUUCCUCGGUUGCCGGCUCAAUGCGCUCGAUCUAGCACGAUGACGAGAGGAGCUUCCUCGCGGUGCGCCAGCUCCAAGCGUGUGCCGGGACACCUUCAAUCUCCAGAGAUGCCCUGAACUGAAGUGUCCCCGUUUCAGUCGGACUAGACAAGUCCAAGGUCUGAAGAAGAGCCUCACGUCGCCAAUGGGGACGCUCCCAGCUCAAGAUGGCAAUGGGUACCCGCGACCCGAUACCCGACGGGUAUUUACUCCAUUAGGGUCUGAAUAUGGACUAGAUACACUACCCACGGGUACGUAAAUGGACCAAACCCUUCACCCAUCGAGUACGCGGGUAUGGGUAUGUUCCAGCAGUCCCCAUACCCGUUAACCCAUGGGUGAAAAAUACCCGGCCUAAAAUAAAAUAGCCCACCAGCAGCCCAUGUAAAACACUAGGUUCCCCAACACCCCAACCCUCUCCCAACCGGCCAACCCUAUCCCAAUUCCCACCCACCUCAGCCGCAACGUCUGGUCUCCCGAGAAAAAAAACAACACCGCCGCCCGUCGCAAAAAUCAACGCCUGGCGCCCGACCCCUCGUCUCGCUGACGGCUGGCAUCGCAUCCAAGCGCCAGGAAGACGCCACCGCCACAUCCGACCCCCCAACCCCCCCUGAUGCCACGCCAUGCCGGCGACGGAGCAAGAACGGUGAUCCUCAUUCCCCAAUUCCCAGUUCCCCUUCCCCUAAUUCCCUUCAUAUGCUUUGCACUUGUACUUGCAGGCGAUGGCGCAGAGGCGCUCCGCGCGACCGUGCUCCUUGCCUUUGCCUCCUUCUCCCCCGCACUAUUUCACUAACCAGCUCCUUCACUCUAGCGUCAAAGGAACAUCGCGGAGCUCCUAGAGGAUGGUGACCACUUGAAUCCACCGGAUCCCGAGCUCGUCGACGCUGGGAACACUUUGAAGCUGCAAGAUCCGGAGGUCCAAGCUGCAGUCGCCGGCAGCGCUCCUACAGCGGAGCCGAAGAUCGGCGUUGGUGCCGUCGCCACCAGUGCUCCUGCAUCCAAGCCCAAGAACGGGAACGGCGCCGCUCCUAAAACCAAGCCCAAGAACACCACCACCAAGGAGAAGAAAAGGACCGGAGCUACUGCGGGCGUGGAGAAGACGAAGCAAAAGGACGGCCGGCCCCCUCUUUCUCCGGCUUCAUCUCGGGAAGGUGCUGCUGCAGCCACAUCUUCAGGUGGUGUAAUAACUAAUUCUUGCCCUCUUGGUGCUAGCCGCAAGUUGCUGCAGCCACUGAUGUAAGUAACCCAAGAGCUACAUGCCUAUGCUAAGCGAGCUACAUGCUUGUAAUUUGAUACAUGACCUAAAUUCCUAAUUCAGUUGGUUAAUACUUGUGAGUUGUGCUGCUUGAGCAGAAUUUUUUAUAGCAGAACUUGAGUAACUGAUAGUCUGAUAGUUAUAAAUUUGAAAGAACACUAGUGUUGGUAGAUGAGUUUGGUGUAUAUGCAGUUAUGCACAGUUGCAAACAUAACAUCUGUUAUGUUUGAUAAUUGUUAUCUCAUUAGUUAUUCGUAAGGACUAAGGAUGUGGUUUGUAAAACUCAUUAGUGUAGUUAUUAUUUGUCAACGUCAGAUAAAUAUUUUUCAAGAAGUAGCUUACUCUGCUUUACUUGUAAAACUCAUUAGUCAUUAGUAUAAUAAUUAUUAUUUCUUCUAUUGAAUGUGCCUUAUUAUGUGAUACAGAUUGAAAAAAAUGAGUACUAGCAGUGAAGGUGAAUGCUCACAAACUGCAGUUCAUAUGUCAGAGCCUAUUGAAAUAGAAGAUGAUGAAGAUCCUAUUGAAGAAGAUAAAGAUGGUCCUGCUAGUGGUGCAAAGAGGAAUCUCACCUCAGCGGUUUGGAAUGAGUUUAAGAGAGUUAGGUACAUGGGCACAACAAAGGCAAAGUGCAUGUAUUGUUUCAAGAAGCUAUCAGGUGAAACAAACCAUGGAACUAAGCACUUACAUGAUCAUUUGAAGUCGUGUACACUUAGAAAGAUCAAGACAGCAGGGAACAAGAGUUUGUCACAAUCUUGUUUGAGGUUUGGUUCCACUGAAUCAGGUACCGUUCAAGUUGAAAACUACACAUUUGACCAAGAAGUAGCUAGAAAGGAACUUGCUGCAAUGAUAAUUCUGCAUGAGUAUCCUUUGAGCAUGGUAGACCAUGCUGGUUUCCGGAGGUUUGCAAGUGCGCUUUAGCCACUAUUCAAGAUGGGUACUAGGAAUACAGUAAGGUUUGUUCCUUACUGUUUGGUCUUGCUUCCAUUGUAAUUUUUGUAUUCAUUUUUUAAUAUUCCUUCAAAACUUUCAGGAAGGAUAUUGUGAUGCAAUAGGAGAUGGAGAGGAAACAAGCAAUUGAAUAUAUGGCUAGUAUUGAUUCAAGGGUGGCCAUAACUUCUGACUUGUGGACGUCUGACAACCAGAAAAGGGGCUAUAUGGCAGUCACAGCCCAUUUCAUCGAUGAAUCUUGGACUUUGAGAAACAUUAUCAUGAGGUACAUGUCCUGAAAUCUAUUUUUGCACAUGUUUUACCGAUUUUUGCACAUGUCCUACAAUCUGAAAUCUGAUUACAUACUUUGUUACAUGUAUAGGUUCAUCUAUGUACCAGCUCCUCACACAUCUGAAGUGAUUGCUGAAGAACUAUAUGAGUCCUUGGUUGAUUGGAACCUUGAUGAGAAAAUAUCCACAAUUACCCUUGACAACUGCACAACUAACGAUGCGGCAAUCCCUUAUCUGGUGAGGAAGAUUGGAAAAAGUAAGCUUAUAAAUGAAGGAAAACUACUACAUAUGCGUUGUUGUGCUCAUAUUCUUAAUUUGAUUGUUAAGGAUGGUCUAGAACAUAUUAAAACUGCUAUUGAGAAUAUCCGUGAAAGUGUGGCUUAUUGGACAGCAACACCAAAAAGGAUAGAGAAAUUUGAGGAGAUAGCUAAGUUUGUUAAGGUUAGUUUGGAUCAUAAGAUAAACCUUGACUGCAAGACUAGAUGGAAUUCAACCUUUAAGAUGCUUAGUGUUGCAGUCCCCUAUAAAGUUGUUUUCAUUAGAGCAAGUCGUGUUGAUAAGCAAUAUACAUGUUUGCCUAGUGAACAGGAAUGGAAAUUUGCUGCUAAUGUUGUAGAACGGCUUCGAUUGUUCAAUGACAUAACUUUGUUGUUUUCUGGAACUGAAUAUGUUACCGCCAACAUAUACUUCAUAAAAUUUUGUGAGAUUAGGAAGAAAAUUAGACAGUGGUCAACUUGUGGCAGUACAAAGAUUGAAGAGAUGCCAGUUAGCAUGAUAGCCAAAUUUGACAAAUAUUGGUCGGACAUCUAAGGACUGAUGGGUAUUGCAACCCUUAUAGAUCCUCGUCUCAAAAAGUUGAGCUUGCUGAUGUGUUUUGAGUGGCUAACUGGAACAACUGGUUACAUUUGUGAGGAUAAGGUUGCUGAAAUCAUAGAUCUAUUAACUGAAUUGAUGAUUGAAUACCAUGUGGAAGAAGACUGUGACAAUAGCGAAUCAGCAGCAGCUGCAGCUCCAACUAAAGACAUGGAGUUCUUAUCUUCAUUUAGUGCAAGAGUUGCUAGUACAAGGCCAUCUACUGUGCGAUUCAAAUCAGAACUAGAUCGCUACUUAGAAGAUGAACUGGUAUCUCUGGAAACUAAGGGUUUCAAGGUGCUGGAUUGGUGGAAGGUGGCUGGAGUACGUUAUCCAACCUUGAGAAGGAUAGCAAAGGAUAUUUAUGCAAUUCCUAUCACUACAGUGGCAUCUGAGUCUGCAUUUAGCACCAGUGGGAGAGUACUUAGCGAGCAUCGCAGUAGGCUGACUUCAAAAAUGAUAGAGGCUCUUAUGUGCUCACAAGAUUGGUUGCGGAACAAGUACAAAAGUAUGUCCAUUCUCUUGUUUUGUAGCUUGGUUGGUUCUCUUUACUUUGAUUCUAUCCUAAUUGUUGGUUUUCCUUUUUAGUUGACAACAAGGAAAAAGGAGCAGCCACCUUCUGGUCUUGCCUCCAAGAUAUUCAAGAGGGUCUCCAGGUGUGCACAUAUUCAAAUGAAACCACUAUUGCAAUCAUGCUCUUAUUCUGUUAUUCUAGAGUCUAGACACAUACUAACUCUUAUUCUUGUUGUACUGCCUGCCAUGCCAUAUUGCCAUAUAGGAACUUGAACUUUGAGCAAAGCAAGUUGUCUGUUGUCUCCAACUCCAAGUGAAGGAAACCAACACAUCAAGUCAUCAACAAGACAACAAAUGACCAGCAUGUUUGUUGAAUUGUUGUCCUAUAUUUAUAUACCCCAAAAAAUGUAAUGACUUAUGACAAUGAAUUUGUGUGAUGGUGUUUUGUGAGUAUGUGACUGGUGGUUGCAGUGGAGAUUACUAUAUGCUAUUAUUUGUCUAAUUUUAUGUGCUCUGGUACUGGUGGUUGAUGUUGAACCGCUGAUUUUCAUGUGCGUAAAUAAAGUAUUGGCGGGUAUGGGUGACCUGCCGAGUAUGAUUUACCCGGCCGGGUGUGGGUCUGGGGAAAAUUCCCCACCCAUAGCGGGUAUGGGGAUUCUAGCGGUCUCAAAUUUUUAUGAUGGGGAUGGGUCUAGGGUGGCCAUACCCGACGGGGAUUUACCCAUUGCCUUCUUGGCUCCCAGCACGCAUGGUGGCGUCCCUUGCGCGUUGCAAGGUGAAGAUGAUAAGGAAGCUCUCCGACCAGAAACGCCUGAUGGUGAAAUUGUUCGUGCCCACCUUCGGGAGCUCGGAAAUGGCACAACGCAGGCCAUCCAAUGGCACGUCCUACGGUCCACCUGGCGCCGCCGCGAGUACGAGUAGUGCUAGCUGUAGUCUUCCCUCCUCCGCGUCCAUCUCAGCAUCUCGCGAGAGGAAGCACGUCUCCUCGGCGGGGUGAGUCGAUGGAUGCCCAGGCGGAGUGUCCUCGUCGAGGAAGAAGUGUGAGUGUGUCCCGGACUCCCUGCCGGCAUUGUCCUGCGAACCUGACGGCCCCUCCCUGAAAGGCGGCCGUGGCACGUUGCGGUCCGGGCGCAUCUGCGACUGUUUGCGUCCGCGCGAAUGGCUAGAGCGACGGCCUGUCGCCUGACGGGUGCGUUCGGCCCCACGCGCUGGCGAACAGCUAUGACUAGAGUGGUUGUCACUGGAGCCGUCGGAGAAGGCGUCCGUCCAUGUGCCGCGUGUGCCCAUGGAGUUGGUGGAGAGGCAUGGUGACGGCGAACUAGCCGGCAUCCCCCGCCGUCGUCGGACGAGACCGAGCUCACCGGGCUCUGCGGCCGCUUGCAAUCCCUGGCAAGGUGCUAGAAGCCGCGGCAGUGAAAGCACCUCGUCGGCAGGUGACAUUGGGCCACCAAAUGCUUGAAGGAAAGGCAGUUGAGGUAGCACCCAGAGAACUCCGACAGAAUGUGCCUGACCACCGACGAUGGUUGCACCACCGCUGCUUGCCUCAACUGAGCCAGCCGCUAUCGACACCGGCGCCUUGACCUAGUCCGCCGACUCUCAGCGGUGGUCCAGCCCUCCUCCGCCGGUGCCUAGCUUGCCACAGAUUGGACAACCACCGAGCGCACAUGGCCUCGCGCGGCGGCUUCCUCUGUCUGCUAGAUGGGCAGUCCAUGGACCAGAGUCCUCUGGCUGCAGCGUCACUCUGGACGGCAGCCAUGGCGGUCUCUAGUCUGCGGUCCGAGGUGGUCAUGCACCGGCGCAUACAUGAAAAUACGCAACGGCGGGAGGUCAAAGGGGGGUGCUGAGGAUGAGGCAUUAGCGUUGGCCGCGGAAGGCUCCGGCGAGGAAGGAGCACGCAGGAGAACGUCAUAGUAGGAGGGGCGUGGAGGGGAGGCGCAGACCGACGCGGCGUCGGAGUCGGAGUCGUCCAACCAUCUCACCUAUUUUCCUCUCCCGCUCGACGCGCCACCGGGGUGGAAAGGCUCGGUGUUGGGGGAGAGGGCGAAGGGGGGGAGCGGAGGCUGCUGGGUCCGUGAGUGGUGGUCGCCGGCGCCGGAGUGGAGGCCGGCGAGGGUGGUCGUGGGGAUCGGGGAAGGUGGAGCAGGAGCGAGAGAGAGCUAUCCUUGCUGGAUAAUUAUAGGGUAAGACCAGACGUCCUUCCGUAAGAUCGCAAAUCAUAGGAUUGUAAUUAGUAGAGCCGUGAAUUAUAUUGUAGAUUAUUGUACUAGCAAAUUAAAAUGGUACAAUUAUUGGUCUAGCAAUUCAAAUCCAAAAAUUGUAUGAUAGAAUAGAUAUUCUGACAACCAGGGUCUAUAGUAGUGGUGGUCUACCUCAUCCAGACGCCAACUUGUUUAUCUGUCCUGUUGGUCAGGCUCAGCGGGCAUACGUUGUGCUCGUCCGGAACCGAUGGUGGGAAGCGGAGCUCCAGCGGGUAGACGUCCAGCAGUCUCUUUCCUCUUCUUCCUUUUUCUCGGUAAAGAAAAAUAAGGCAGCCGAUGGAUUGAUGUUUAUCGUUUUAGUAGAAAUCUGGGCCACAGACUGCUGUUAGUUGCUACUAUGGUACUACAGCAUAAAUGUCACCUUCCCUAUCUUAUCUUACUAUUUCACAUAAAUGUCACCAUCCCUAUCUUACAGUUACAUCAGUAAAACCUAGUCGUGUGCUGAAAAAUUCAUGCAACACCUGAGCAAAACUGGUCAGCACCCAGUUUGUUCACUGUAAACUAAAACAGAUAAACCCUGCUCCUCAACUUAAAACCUCUGUAAACUUUCGAACUACUCAAUACUACAAUUUUUUUUUUGGGAGGAAUCACUGCCUGCAUUGCUAAUCAGGUAGUGCAGCUAACUUUAUCCCUUAUCACUGCAACUGUUGGAAGAUGGAGCAGAGUAGAUUAACAAGACAACUGGAAACCCCAAUGAUAUGGAGAAUAAUUCCAUGUACAGAUGUUCUCCACAUGAGCACAUGGUCACAUGGAGAAGACAGCACACGCAAAUCUUUGGAGUUCUCUGCAUUUUGUUAAGUUUCCUGGGAUCUCCAAGCAAAGAGAAGGACCAGUGAACUACCUGUACACAACGUGCUCCCAAGUCUGAAUCCGUACUUGCUUCCUCUCACCAAACCCCGGCCGGACUUGGAUUGGAUGGACGCCGGAGUUUGGGUUGUUGCCACCAACGUAAUUCCAAAAUCCCCAUUGGUGGCUUGGAGGGAGCUGAACUCAUGUAGUAUGUGAUUUGCAAUAGACUUGCAACCUACCUAAAGCUUUCUAAUCCCCACAAAGAAGAUAUGCUAAAUUAUUAAUUCAACAAUAACACAGCAUAUCUAAAAGCAAAGGAAUAAUGCAGCGUCCAAAGUGCAAAAUAGCAGCAGCAUUUUUUUUAACCUUGACUCGCAGAUUUAUGAACAAUUAAACGAGGAACUGAACAAAGAUUCAACCCAAAAACACAUAGUAUAUAUGAACCAAGACUAGUUAACCCACUCUCUAAAUUACCUCAACUUUUUUUUACCUCUAUACCUCUCCACACCACCCUUUAUUACAAUUCACCACCCCUCUUUCUUCCUUGUUUCCGGUAGACUAACAAGCCAAGCCAACCUACCUCGCCGGAGCAGAGUAAGCAGAGUCCAGAACAGAGCAACUGAGCAAGUCAGGUUAGACCUCGACGCGGCAGUAGGUGGGCGUCUGGAACCUGAGCCCGUGCGCCCCGACGACGCUGUAUGUGCCGCUGCUGAUGAAGUAAGCCGGGCAGGUGACGAAGAUGUGGUAGUGCCCGGACGUCCAGCUCCCGACCUUCCACCUGACGCGUCCGUCGAUCCUGACCUCCAUGAUGAGGUACCCGUUGGCGACGUCCUUCCUCAUGGCGUCGGCGAGGAACGGCGCGAACGGAACGUUGGGCCCGGCCAGCACGGGCGACCACACGUCGACGUCGCCGUGGCCCUGGUACACUGUCGGGAGCCUGGACGCCAGCGUGACCUGCUGGUACUUGUAGGAGGCGUAGACGUCGAGGCGGUCGUAGUGGACCCCGACGCGGGCGUUGGGGUUGCGGGAGGCGAUGGUCACCUGCGCCGCCGUCGAGAGCAGCGGCGCCGAGCCGUUGGAGAGGUCCAGCUGCCGGAGCGUGGCGUCCUGGAGGAUGAAGCGCGGGUGGGUCGGGUGGAGGACGAGGAAGACGAUGAGCGCGAUGACGCCGGCGAGGAGGGCGAAGCCCAGCAGGAUGAUGAGAAGGCGGCGGCACGUCUGCUUGAACUCGUCGUCGCCGUGGUUGCCGCAGUCCUUGCUCAUGGCUGACACCUGCGGCUGCUGGUGGUGGUGGCGGCGCUCGCUGGCUGGCUGGCUGUUUGGGCUUCUUGCCUGGUGAUGUGUGUGUUGGUGGAGGAGGCUUGAGGGAGGCUGUGAGGUGUGAGCUGGGUGUGUGCGUCUGUUUGGGAAUGGUUUGUAUUAUAUUUUGGUCACUCUUUGUUUAUUAUGUUCAUGUUGAAAUCAUGGAGGGAGGGAGGGAGGGAGAGAAAGGUGUCCAUGUCGAGGGGCUUUCCUUUUGCCCGGGAUGUGUCUGGCUUGCCCGAGAUAUCAUCAUUGAUGGAGAGAUCUUUGGUUUCUUCCAUUUUGAUUUAUUAAGCCAUUCUCGAUGCAAAGUUUUAUGCUAUGUUUCCAAAAGUGCCAUAUAAGUAAAAAUACAUUUAGUUCAUAAAUGAAAUACCUCACAUAUUGCUUCAUCUUUUGUUGUUUUCAAAUUACAUGCAACUAAUUUCUUCUUUUACCUUAUAAAUAAGGUGCCAUGUCAUUACAAUUACCUACAUGGCACCUCAUUUAUUGUUCAUAAAACUGCCAUUGAGAAUGGCCUUAGGGUGCGAUUCUAGGUGUAGGGAUCUUUGGCAUCAUAUUUAUCAGGAAUUCGUAAAGGAAUUUCUAUUGUUUAUUUUAGUUCAUGUCCAAAUCAUAAUUUUGUGGCGUUCCAAACAUCGAGACACAAAUGUUGCAAUCCAUGAUGAUAAGGGGUGAAAACUAUAUAUGGUUGGACAAUCUUUUUUUCCCCAAAAGAGUACUAAAAUAACCUUGGAUUUUGCCCGUGUAAUUUCAGUAAGUACCGAUUAUAAGUUAUGAGUAUAUUUUUUUUUUUGGAAAGGAACGGCAAAUCUUCUGCCGUAAUUUUUAUUAGAAGAAAGAGGAAAAAACAAAAAAAAAGGAGUUGCCAAAACAUGCAAGUUAGUUGUAAUAUAGUGGUACACACGUCUUUGCACAAGGCUACAUAGUUGAUUCAUCAUCCAUUCAUGUUUCCCUAACGGAAAAAAGAAAAGGAAGGAAAGCAAAGAAGAAGACGAGACCAUGCUUGGUGAGAUGACAUCGUGUGCAGGCACAGCAUAGCACAGCAACAGGAAAUGGGAAUGCUAUCAUUGGCAUCCUGUAUCAUGCUACCCCCACAUGGGAGGAAGAACACACAUACGACUGGACCGUAGCGCGGAUGCAUUGAACUGAAUCGAGCUAGCGGCUCACGGCUAAUAUCGUAGGACGACGGACCUUGACCGGGGUAACAAGAAGAAACAAAAAAAAAAAAAAAGACUCGAUCGGUCGCUGUGAAGGGCAUGCGUGUCGUGCCGUCCCUGCCCCCGGUAUGUCGUACACCGGAGGGGCCCUUCUGUACACCACGCGGCGAUUUCACACGAAGCCACCCGGUGCACCGACGUAGCACUGGGACCCUGGGCGCAGCGAGCGGCACGCGGAUGCAUCGCCACACGGCGCACUGCAGGCACGGCGCCGAACUUGGCGCACCCAUGCAACGCAAGGCCUUUCUCGGCUGGCUGGCAUCUCCCCGUCCCGUCUCCGAUCGAGGAAAGCCGCUUUGAUCUACUAAUUUCUUUGGGCUGCCCCUAGAAUCUGAUUCUGCUCGCCUACCGCCACGACUGCAGCCAGGAGCUCGCAGCUUUGGCACGGAUUCUUCCACCACUUGUAACUUGUUCUACGUAAACAACAACAAAGCGAUCGAGGAAAAAACCCGUCGGAAAGCAGAGCACGAACGAGUCCACUUUCUCUGAUGCCCAGAGCGGCGCCGGAGCAAAGCCGCCGGCGACAGGACGGGGCCCCCGCCACGCCGCGACCAGAGGUCCAAGUUCCUACAGGCAGAGGGGCGGAGAUCGACGACCGAGCGGCAGGGACGCACAUUUACGACUCGGAAUGAAUGCGAGCAUACGGAUGGGCACAGAGAGAGAAACUAAAAUAAUCACCAGCGUGGCUGCUGCUUCUCCUUCGAUGCCCUGCUCUGCCCUCUCAAGCCCACACGCAGGGCCCUCCAAGCUUCAGCUGAUGGCAAGGGACUCCCGUACACAACACCGUCUCUCCACACCCUGUUUCACCAACUAUGUAACUAUUAAAGGUGUUUCGAUCCUUAACUAAAGUUUAGUCCAUGUUUUCGAGGUUAAUUAGGAGUGUUUGAUCUUAACUAAAAUUUAGUCAUAUCACAUCGAAUCUUCGGGGCUAAUUAGGAGGAUUAAACAUGAGUUAAUUAUAAAACUAAUUACACAGAUGGAGGUUAACUCGCGAGACGAAUCUAUUAAGCCUAAUUAAUUCAUGAUUAGCACAUAUUUAUUGUAGCAUCACAUUGUCAAAUCAUGGACUAAUUAGACUUAAUAGAUUCGUCUCGCGAAUUAGCAUCCAUCUGUGCAAUUGGUUUUGUAACUAAUUAGUAUCUGGGAACCAACGGACCUUUAUUUUCUCCAUUGUAAACUGUAGGUACAGUCAUAGAGUCAUGAAUCCGAAAAUACUAAAACUAGUAUAAAUUGGUCUCCACUUGUUCUGACCUCUGCUUACUACUACCAGGAAAGGAAGAACAUAAGGCUCCACCCCCUCCUUUCCUGCUGCCAGGAAAAACAACCCUUGGUGUUUGCUACAGGGAGCUAACUAUUAUAGUAUGCUACAGACAAUGCAUCAUUCCUUAUGGUCCAGUCAAGGAGGAUAAGAUCGUAUCCCAGCGCAGGGGCAGGGCAACCCCAGGCCACUCCCCCACCAAGGGCACCGAACCCCUGCAAAUCCUACACCAUUCCAAGCGCGAGAGCCUCCCGCGAUCGUCCUUCCUCCGCAACAAGACACACAGAUAUCUUCCAAUAAGCUUCUUCCAGCUACUCCCUCCAUUUCAAAUUGUAUAUCGUUUUAGCUUUUCUAAGUUUAUAAUAUUAUUAUGCAACUAAACAUACACUAUAUCUAAGUAUUAAAUCAAAACGACCUAUAAUUUGGAACGGGACGGGAGGAGUAGUUGCCAUGGUCCCUCACUAACCCUCAGAGAGGCCAAAGCCAUCUCUCCCAAAGCCGUCUUCUUCCACAAUAGACCACCUACCAACUGGAGGCUCUCAGCUCAAGUACUCAACUCAAGAAAGAAAUCAAGCUCCUCCAGCCCCGGGUGAUCCAAGGCGUUUGGUCACCAAACCUCGGCCGCAUCUCCCCUAUCCUGUCACCCGUAACCAUGACCGUCCAAACCACAGAGAAGCAACUAGCCAACCAUGCCUGCGGCACCAAUGAUGAUGCUCUUAGCCAGCAGCUAAUGAUCUAACGUGGCUGCAGCACACCAUUCACAUCACAGAAAUGACUUGAAAUAAGCUACCGGCUACUGCACUGAGCGACGCAGACGACAUGGUGUGGGCAGUGGCCCUCCCUAUACUGAAUGCAGCAUUGCAGCAGCGUUUCAUGGUACAGGCAGAGGCAGGCCCAGCGUUUAAGGAGAAACAUGGCAUGAGCAGGGGUGCAGUGAUGUGAAGGGCCACUGUCUGAAUCAGGAUCAUCAACAUGCCUGCCAGGCCACCACCACCCCCCUAAUUGGAUGAUAACGCAUCAUACCAGCCAGGUUGUAUCAACUUGGUAGCAUCAGCUGACAUAAUAGAAAUCAUUGAGUGUUGUGAUGUGAUGCCAAAAUUACAUCUCAUAGGACUAACAGUAGACAGGACGACGCAGGAAGGCAGGUGCCAACCAGCUUCAAUCAAUUUUUUCCCCCCGAAAGAUAGCUUCAAUCAAUUAGAUGAACAACGGAACCAUCUCUCCAAAUCAAUUAGAUCAAUGGUGUUAACAUGUGAAGUUGUAGCUCUAUGCAAAUGCAAGAAACCAACUCUUCAAACCACAGUUGCUGUAUUCAGGGACAAUGUAGUCUUCCUGGUGCAAGGAAGGUGACGCACAUGAACAGGACAGCAAAUGGGCACUAUGAGUGACAAUCCGGCAUCCAUCUCCAUGUAACCAGAGAGCUUGUUUUCAAGCACUAACUCAAUGUACAAAGUUCCCUGAACCCCCCACACCGUGUAGAAUAACCACCAUGCACAAACAUUCUUGCCAUAAAUUUGCACAACCACUCAUACUGAAACCAUCAUAGAUACAAAGGUCAUAUUCCCACUAAGCAUAAUCAUUCUGGACUUCUCUCGCUCGGUAUUCUACUACAGCCAGCUAUAUUUGCCCAGCUAUUACCCCAUCAAAUCAAUGUUGAUCAACUUCUUGUAGUGCCAGUUAGCUUCUCAUACCUAUGGAAUGAUCUCCCUCUGAUCAGCAUCCCAGGUAGUCAACAAACAUGGAUGGUGAUCCUAAUAACAUAAGAGCAAACAGUUAACCAAGUCCAGAUAUCAUACAGAAGGUGCUAAGAAUAUAGUUUGUCCAAUCCAGGGUCUCCAGUUACCAUAAUCGCUAAUGCGCUAUUGGCAGCACACAAAAAAAACAGAGUAAAAGAUAAAGCAGAAUAAACAAGCAAUUAAGAAAAGGCAAAGUUUUCUGUCUAGCGCCCAGGCAGUGAUUCAUGAGAUCCCGUAACAACAGCAAACAUAUGUAACAAAGAAAAUCACUACUUUAUCUGUUUCCUAAAAGAUGAAAUACAAAAGGUAGAUCAUUUUGCAGUCCUGCACGACCCAGCAUUAAAUAAUAGCUAGAACUCUAAAACAUGUGGAAACAUCAUUCGUGCGGACCACCCAAAAUGGCCUCCAAGCCAUAAUGGUGUGCAGACUAAUGCUUGGCAAAACCACAAAAGUAUAAUACACAUGAAUUUCAGAACUUGAAUUGCAUAUUUAGCAAGCAGAAAUAACGGUAACCACAUCCAAUGUUUAGCAAGCUGAAAUAACACUAACCAGAUCAUGCUUAAUUCCCCCCUAUCACUAUUAAUUUCCAUUAAAAUGUUCAUGCAACUACGAUGUAAGGGUCAUCUUUAUUACCCUGAUAUUAGCAUCAAUAUAAAACCCAGUAUUUCACAAUGUACACCAGAACUUAAUACAUUCAUUAAUAUGAGCAUGCCAACAAAGUAGAACUAUCAACAAAAAAAAAUGAGCAUGCCUUCCAUGUAUUCACGGAGGUCAGGUCUCUAAAUAGCGAUUGAACAGAGGACACAUCCUUUGACCCUUGAAGACUCAUUUGACGCAUUAUAUACAGUUCGUUACUAUGAAGCAUUCUAAACAUAAAUCGGUGAAGAUUAACACUAAUAUGACAGGUUUUGGGCACGAAGCAAUAAGGCUCAAAGCGAAUAUCAACAUCCUACUUUACAUUGCAAGAUAUAGUGUUAAUAGUCCACAACUUCCUGUCAAGGAACUUUCAUGCUUUAAAAUAAAGAUCCACAUCACCCAGCUCAGCAGUUCUACACUAUGGCCAAUCAUAUAUGGGAAAUGACAAUCAAAAGCAUCCUAAUAAUUUGUGCUGUUCGCAAACAUUAGCUUCAAAUUGCUACAGAAUUCAUCAACUAAAAAUUAGUACAUCUCGUAUUGCGAUCAACCAUGUGAAAGACAAACCAUAGGUACGGACCAUGACUAAAAUCUUACCGUACCAGGCAAAGCUCUAUGUUCAUCUGUCCUCAAUAGCACUAGGCGCCUCAGUGAUUCAGCCAUAACUACUGCCAGUUCAUAUGAAUUGCUACAAGAAUUGCCCACUUCGGGAUAGGCGCCUCCAUCCACCCAUUGCUUGAUAGGUAAUGGCCGCUUAUCACACCUAAUUGACCUAGGCACCAACCUGCCUACGAUUUAGUGAUUGGUGCUUUUUAAAACACUGUAGGCCAUAUAGACAAAAUAGGGUAGGUUAGGGCCAACUAUACCAAGGCAGAACACAAACAUAAGCCAAUCCAAACAUCUGGCACUGGAAUGGUCUUUGGCAUUCACUACAUCAUGCAUGUGUUACAGAAUCUAAAAAUUGAAAAAAGAAAUUAAUACAACUGUAGGUUUUCCAAAUUCAUAGUGACCUUCACAGCUAUUGAUGUGGCCAGGUUUUCUCCGUUGCUUAACUGGGAGAUUAGAGAACCCAGGCUAGUCAAACAUAUAGGGUUAUAUAUGUUUUUUUUGUCCAUUUGUGGUAACGUACUCACAUUGCCUUUGACAUUUGACACAGACGUCACUACCAUUGAAAUUCCCACAAAACCAAUUCCUCUCUGCUCAAAUCUAAAUGAACAAGUAACUCGCACAAACAAGGACAGGAUUGAAGAAAAAAUGCUAGCCCCUUGAAACCCAAUCAACACGACAUAUUUCACAAGAUUGAAAACCUCUACAGUGGCCAACAUCCCAACACAAUACUAAUGGGUUUUCUGCACGUUCAUAAGUAAAAAAAAGAUGGUUUGCGAAUGGGUUCGCAGACAAAAUUGAUACAAAAGUGAAUUAGGCACCGCAAUAACCAAUUCAUAUGAACCCUGCCUAAGCACCCUGUUGCCAGCCUAAAAUUGCAUUGAUCUUUUGCUUAAUUGACUAUGCAUUGGCAACAAGAUUCUACGGAGUCAAAAGAACCAUUUAAUACAAGUAUAA